GAUGAACGCUGGCGGCGUGCCUAAUACAUGCGAGUCGAGCGAACAGACGAGGAGCUUGCUCCUCUGACGUUAGCGGCGGACGGGUGAGUAACACGUGGAUAACCUACCUAUAAGACUGGGAUAACUUCGGGAAACCGGAGCUAAUACCGGAUAAUAUAUUGAACCGCAUGGUUCAAUAGAGAAAGACGGUUUUGCUGUCACUUAUAGAUGGAUCCGCGCCGCAUUAGCUAGUUGGUAAGGUAACGGCUUACCAAGGCGACGAUGCGUAGCCGACCUGAGAGGGUGAUCGGCCACACUGGAACUGAGACACGGUCCAGACUCCUACGGGAGGCAGCAGUAGGGAAUCUUCCGCAAUGGGCGAAAGCCUGACGGAGCAACGCCGCGUGAGUGAUGAAGGUCUUCGGAUCGUAAAACUCUGUUAUUAGGGAAGAACAAAUGUGUAAGUAACUAUGCACGUCUUGACGGUACCUAAUCAGAAAGCCACGGCUAACUACGUG
rnacentral:rRNA from 1 species